rnacentral:misc_RNA from 1 species
UCUCCGCCUACUCUCCUCCAUGGCCAAAUCCAAACCCUAACGCUACCGUUCUCUCUUUGCAGGAAGCUGCUGAAGGACUCGAAUCACAGUCACAAUCCCAAUCUUACGACUCUCUUUCUUCAAUUAUGCCUCAAGAUCAUCUUACAGAACAGCUUUCGCCUGUCAGUCCUAACCCCAAUUACCAUGCUCCUGCAUCUUCAUCUCCGGACUCCACCUCGCCUCCCGUGCCAGUUUCUCUACUUCACCUUUCAUUCAACCAGGAUUUUGGCUGUUUCUCCACGGGUACUGACCACGGGUUUCGCAUCUACAACUGCGACCCGUUUCGGGAGAUCUUCCGCCGGGAUUUCGAGCGCGGUGGCGGUGGGAUUGGAGUCGUUGAGAUGCUUUUCCGUUGUAAUAUUUUGGCCCUUGUUGGCGGUGGGUCCAACCCUCAGUAUCCUCCUAACAAGGUCAUGAUCUGGGACGACCAUCAGAGCCGAUGCAUCGGGGAGCUCUCAUUUAGGUCUGAGGUUCGAUCGGUGAAGCUUAGACGGGAUAGAAUUAUUGUGGUCCUGGAGCAGAAGAUUUUUGUGUAUAAUUUCGCGGAUUUGAAGCUGUUGCAUCAGAUUGAGACGUUUGCAAAUCCCAAAGGGCUCUGUGCAGUGUCGCACGGGGCGGCUUCAUUGGUGUUUGGUUUGUCCAGGGUUGCAGAAGGGCCAGGUUAGGGUGGAGCAUUACGCAUCGAAAAGGACCAAGUUUAUUAUGGCACAUGAUUCGAGGAUUGCCUGUUUUGCUCUCUCGCAGGAUGGGCAGUUGCUGGCCACUACCAGCACGAAGGGAACCCUGGUUCGGAUUUUCAACACGGCUCUGCUUCAAGAGGUAAGGAGGGGUGCAGAUAGAGCAGAAAUUUAUAGUUUGGCAUUCUCCUCAUCUGCGCAAUGGCUGGCAGUCUCAAGCGACAAGGGCACUGUACAUGUUUUUAGCCUUAAGAUUAAUCCUGG